rnacentral:tRNA from 1 species
UCCCUGGUGGCUCAGACGGUAAAGCAUCUGCCUGCAACGCGGGAGACCCGGGUUUGAUUCCUGGGUCGGGAA